rnacentral:lncRNA from 1 species
AUUACUCAGAGGUGCAGAUUGGCAUAAAUGUGUCGAGGGAAUUAAAUUAAGGAGGAGGAGAGAGGUGAGUCCCUCAGCGACUGACUCAUUCCAUAAAUUUAUUUUAUUUUAUUUUAUUUUUAGUUAUGGUCAAUAAAACUGAAGGUUGGCUCAGAUUUUCUUCUUCUUCGGAACGGAGUCCUGGUAACUAAUGCGUCGGGUAAAUUACUGCCUUUUUUAUUUUAAAAUUUUCGAUUAUAUACGUAGUUUUUUUUUAGUUAACUGUAAUAAAAAAUAAAUAAAUAAAUAAAUUCACCCUACUUGUAGUGGGGUUUUUGUUUUAGAAGCAGCAUUAUAUGAAUGCCAUCAUUAGCAGCAGCAACAACAACAAUUUUGGAAUGAAAAGGAGACCAAAGAACUCUCAUUUAUCUUUCUGACAGAGAACAUCUAAUAACAUUUGUUCUGUAAUUACAAAACCUUAAUUCUCCGGUUUAAAUUCCUAAAAAAAUUGAUCGGCCGUGACAUAACGCAAGGCAGAGUACCUAUCUAGUUUUGCUACUAUUUUUUUUUUCUUAAAUAAUAUGGGUGUACUUGUAAAAUACUAUUGUGACGUGUUGUUUUUUAUGGCACCAGACGCCAAACGGUGGGACCAUACGGGCUUAGCCGUGUUAUGUCUUUCUUUUUUAAACGAAAGAACAAAUGCUCGUUUCAGCGCUGCUAAUAGACGGGCGAAGAUGUGGGACCUGCUUAAUGGGUGGCGCUGCUUAUAAGCAGGG